rnacentral:rRNA from 1 species
UACGUUAGGGGAGAAAGACUAUUUUUGGCUAGCAGUUAAUUUUAUUUUUUAUUUUUGUUUUAAUUUUUAGGUGAAAUUUAUAAUUAAUUUUAUUUUAUUCUUUUUGUUCUGUGAAACUUGGAGUUAAGACAA